rnacentral:rRNA from 1 species
AGAGUUUGAUCCUGGCUCAGGAUGAACGCUGGCGGUCUGCUUAACACAUGCAAGUCGAACGGGCUCUUUCGGGAGCUAGUGGCGGACGGGUGAGUAACGCGUGAGAAUCUGCCAAAAGGACUGGGACAACCACUGGAAACGGUGGCUAAUACCGGAUGAGCCGCAACGUAAAAGAGGAAACUCGCCUUUUGAGGAGCUCGCGUCUGAUUAGCUAGUUGGUGAGGUAAGAGCUCACCAAGGCAUCGAUCAGUAGCUGGUCUGAGAGGAUGAUCAGCCACACUGGGACUGAGACACGGCCCAGACUCCUACGGGAGGCAGCAGUGGGGAAUUUUCCGCAAUGGGCGAAAGCCCGAUGGAGCAACGCCGCGUGCAGGAUGACGGCUUUCGGGUUGUAAACUGCUUUGAGGGGGGAGGAUAAUGACAGUACCCCCAAAACCAGCCCCGGCUAACUCUGUGCCAGCAGCCGCGGUAAGACAGAGGGGGCAAGCGUUGUCCGGAAUGACUGGGCGUACAGCGCGCGCAGGCGGUUGUCGACGUGCCGUGUGACAGCGCGAGGCUCAACCUCGCGUGGCCAUGGUAGACGCGGCGACUGGAGUGGGUGAGAGGGAUGUGGAAUGCCCGGUGGAGCGGUGAAAUGCGUAGAGAUCGGGCGGAACACCAGUGGCGCAAGCGGCAUCCUGGCACCAAACUGACGCUGAGGCGCGAGAGCGUGGGGAGCAAACGGGAUUAGAUACCCCGGUAGUCC